GCCGUCGACGCCCCGGAGCGCGUCGUCCUCGAGUAAAACAGCGAGACAACACUGCGAGGGAAGAGAAGCACGCGAGCCUUCUUCCGUUCCAAAGCUUCUACCGGAGCAACAGACGAGUGAGGAAGCGAGGUAGAAGGUUCUGCGGCGGAGAGAGAUGGCCGGAAAGGGAGGCAAGGGUCUGCUCGCGGCAAAGACGACGGCGGCCAAGGGAUCCGUCGACAAGGACAAGGACAAGAAGAAGGCGCCCGUGUCCCGCUCCUCUCGCGCCGGGAUCCAGGAAAUGCUCCUACAGUCAUGGUGUUUUUUCUUCAGAUUUCUGUCCCUACAAUCUGAUAUCUUAAAUCAGUUAUUUUGCUUAGGUCCUUGGAAAAAUAAACGCUGUCUUAAGUUCGUUACCCCUGUUUAAAGUUUGUUUGCUUUGAUGCUUGCUAGAUAUGCAUCGUCGUAUUACUCUUGGCGUCCUUAUUUGUUCUUAAUAUCACCGAAGUACCUGCACUGUUUACGUUUCAUGAAUUGCUUAUUGGUUUUGCAAAUUUGUAUGGUUACAGCAGGCUAGCACUGCACCUAAGUAUCAGUAGUUCAGUAUUCACAUAAGCUAACUUACUGUUGUAGAAGGCUUCAACUAAUACUAGCAUGAACAACCUAGGUCUAGCCAGAGUUGUGCUGUGAAAAGUAUUACGCACAAAUGAUAUGUUCAGAGUCUUAGCUUCACCUCAUCAUCAGUAAUUCAUUAUUCACCUGAGUCUACUUGUACGGUUGUAGCAAGCUUCACUAAAUCCAGUUUCAUGAACAAUCAAUUCUACGUAGUCUUGUGCUGUGAGCCUGACAAGCGAUUAUAUGCAAAUGAUCGAUGGACGCCGCGGUGUCUCCUCCUGCCGAUUCAUCCUCUGUGGGUUCCGCAUUGUCAGCGCCCUCUUGACUUCGUCAUCCCCUCCCGCGGACCCUGGUCCUCGAUUGCACGUUCCCCAUAGAUCUCGCGCUCGCCGUCGGGGCUCACCUUGCAGCGCCUCCAUCCUCCCUCUCCACCGUCACCUCUCUCUACCGAUGAGCAUCCGUCCACCCAGAUGAAAGCUCUCACCCGCCGCCACACAUCCGCCGCCCUUGCCACCGCCUAUCUCCGCCGGUCCGCCACCCACAUCCUGCCCUGCCUACCCCAUCGCAUCCCUACCAAUCCCACCGACUACCAGCCGCCGCGAACCACAACGACCGGUGGUGGUAGCGCAACACGAACAACACCUGCCGUAGCGGCGGCAUCAGAUAGUGCAAGGGAAGCUCCCCGAGGACUAGAUGAUGGUGGCAGUCCUGCAGGUAGCUGCUCUGGCAGGUGUCCGACACCGUGGCUAGGCGUGACAUGCUUCUCACAGAGGACUAGAUGAUGGUGGCAGUCUGGCAUAGGCGGUGCAGCGGGUUCCCUCAUCUAUUUUUUCUCAACUACGCCAAUACCCUCUGAAUCAUCCAUCCGUGAUUACCAGAACAACGUCGUAUGUAUAGCUCGGUGCGCUCACCAAGCUUGUGGAGCCAGCAGUGGCACGCUCCAGGUCUAGAUUGUACUAAUUGUGUGCGCCUGUGUGGAGGGGGGUGGCAGCGAGUCAGGGACGACUCCUAUCAUGUUUACAUGCUCGGGUUCCCCUCAUCCCACGCUUAUGAGCAGCUCCUUGCAGCCUAAAACUCACCUAGGUAGAUUACUGAUGAUGGUGACUAGCUACCAGCCAUCUUCCAGGACUUGUGAGGACGUAAGCAAAAAACAUUUGUUUCCUUCGCUCAGGAUUUGCAUAUAGUUGGGUGAAAUAACCAUGAGAUCAACCAGUUGUGAUAGUGCUUACGCCCCUUCUACAAGUGUGAAGAUGAAGACAUACAACCAUUACUUAAUGUGAUCAUUACUUGUACAGUACUGAUCCAUGGGCAAAUAGAGCACACACAGUAUGUGGUUGGUUGCUGACAGUUGUUGUUCAGAAGACUUAGCAUUGCUGAUAGCUCUGAUGGUGCAUUUCCUCUGUUUUUAGCAGUUUUAUGUUGCUAUAUAAUGGUUGUUGAUUACUAACUCCUAUGGGAUCUAUUUCACUCCAGGGUGCUGUCGAUGAAGGAAAAUAACCGAACAGAGGUAAGAUGAGAGCCUUUUGGAAAUGGAUAUACUUUCAAGCUUUAGCUAUUUUAUUGAGUUAAAUCUCAGUCAAGGUCUCUAAUAUAUGUUUGUCAUAAGCGUUCUCAAAGUAGGUUCAUAUAUAGAUGUGCGAUUUUUAAGCUUUCUGGUCGUCUUUGGCAGAUAAUGGCCCAGGUUUUCAUCCAUAACAAGGACUAAAAUAAGUAAAUGUUGACGCUGGUUAUUCGGAGCAGCAACAUGAUUAGCCUGGGGCAGCACCAUCAUUGGAAAACCACUAAUGUCCUCAUGGUUACUCCAUUCCGUGGUUUGACCCUUCCAGGUAUAUCUUAUUGAUUUAUUAGCAGUGCAUUAUAUGCUUCUGGCCAACUCAUUUCGCUCUUCAUUUUCUCUAGAAGCAUGAACAUGUCACUCCGCAUUCAGUAUAUUUUUUGGCCACUGCGUUUUAAAUAAUUGGAAUUUUACAUGCUUAUAAUACAAGAGAUAGAUUAUGUAAAUACUGUGUUUGCAUUAUGUUUUGCCAAAGACCUUCGAAUGUGAAUGUGUGCAUUAUGUUUCCUAACUUAUAUGGGAGGUAUGAACGGGAUCCGGGGAUGAUGCCUUGUUCACUGGUUGUUGGCAUGUAGUAGCUCUCUUUCCUGAUUUAAUCAUAUUGCAAUUUCCAUGUGGUGAAGCCCAAACUGAAUACCGCUUCAUACAUGAAGAAAGGCCUCAUGAUGAGCUUUAGGAAGAUGGAGCAAUAACACAUGCUGAGUUGGAAAAAUAAGGGUAAUAAUGCAGUCCAUUUGAACUUGUAAAAAGAUCAUCCAUAGUUGAAGAACAUGACAGAGAACAAAGGAGUCUAAUUUUGUGAACGAGGGAAAUCAAAAUGGCAGGAUAUUUGUCUUCUCAUAGCUCUAGAUAUAUUGGAACUUGGGGAGGGAGAACACACAUUCUCUCACUUUACAAUGCAAGCCUUUUACAUAUAGAAAAUGCCGGAAAGAACUUCUCAACGCAAAGCAAUCCUGGGGAAGGACAAUUUUUUAAAUCUUGGUUAACGUGUCUCUAAUCUGGCUGAUAACAUUUCACGACAAAAGGGGUUAUAAGUAUAACAAUUUUUUAUAAAGCAUGCAGUCAGCAGGUAAAUAUUGUGCCGUUACAGAAACAUUGCCGAGCAAAUCUAGAUUUUUUUUGAAGUGAUGCCAAAUGGCCUCCCUUGAAUAGCAAGACUAGGAUUUAUCUUUUUGGUGAAAUCAAUGUCAGGUAAGAUUUUUAUUUUACUAUAUUUCAGUGUUCAAUGUGCUCAGGCUUUAUAACAUGCUGCAUUCUUGUGUUCCGAGUUGACAAAUUUUAGUGUUUGGUGUUUUACAGAGAUUUGAGGAUUUGAGAAAUAAACCAUAUAUGGUUUUGUGCUUGCGGUGAUUUUGGCACUUGGAGUCAGUUUGCAUGGCUGGAAUAGAAUCAGAUCUCAUAGUAUAACCAGACGAGUGUGCAUCACAUAUUAGAUAUAACCGCUGAAUAUUAAAUACCGCAGUGUGCAUCAGAUUUAAGGUGGCGGUUUGCUUGGAACAUGGGUUUUAGGAUGAUCGUGAGCAACCUAGGAGCUGAAGAAGCCUUCAGUGGUAUCUCGUGAUAUAUUUCCGACCCUUCUAGCCGAGAUUAAGCGGUUUGUGCCAUCCCCCAAGCUGCACACAUUAUAGUGGACUUACAGUUGCUUCAAGGUAAAGUCUUGUUUGGGACGAGAUGAAUGCGGAGAAAUGGUUCGUGAGCGCUGCACUGCUGCACUAAUGUGAAGCGAGAUGAUGUACUAGGCAUGUUUUUUUUUAUUUGGUUGGAAUUUCGCAGCUCUUAUUACAUCGCAGUUUGUCAUAGCAUUGCUCCUGAAUUAUUUGCAAAGUUGCAAGGAAAAAUAAGAAACAUAAAUAUAUGAUGUAAAUCUUAGUAAUAGAUAUACAUAGAUAUACAGAGUAUAUCUUUCAGAAUUGUGCAACCUUUUUGUUUGACGUUGUUUGAUUAAGGGAUGGCUAUAAACUGAUAUAUGUUUUCUUCCAUGGUUGUGUA